rnacentral:rRNA from 1 species
UCUAACCCGCCACGCUUAGCGCGUGGGGAGACAGUGUCAGGUGGGCAGUUUGACUGGGGCGGUCGCCUCCUAAAGAGUAACGGAGGCGCCCAAAGGUUCCCUCAGAAUGGAUGGAAAUCAUUCGCAGAGUGUAAAGGCACAAGGGAGCUUGACUGCGAGACUGACAAGUCGAGCAGGGACGAAAGUCGGGCUUAGUGAUCCGGUGGU